rnacentral:rRNA from 1 species
AGAGUUUGAUCCUGGCUCAGAGCGAACGCUGGCGGCGUACUUAACACAUGCAAGUCGAACGAGGAUCAUCGGUGUAGCAAUACAUUGGUGGUCCUAGUGGCGCACGGGUGAGUAACACGUGGGUAACCUGCCCUAGAGCUCGGGAUACCCCCUCGAAAGGGGGGCUAAUACCGGAUACGUUCCUCGGUCGAAAGAUCGGGGAGGAAAGGUGGCGCAAGCUGCCGCUCUUGGAGGGGCUCGCGGCCUAUCAGCUAGUUGGCGGGGUAACGGCCCACCAAGGCUAUGACGGGUAGCUGGUCUGAGAGGACGACCAGCCACACGGGGACUGAGACACGGCCCCGACUCCUACGGGAGGCAGCAGUGGGGAAUUUUCCGCAAUGGGCGAAAGCCUGACGGAGUGACGCCGCGUGUGGGACGAAGGCCUUCGGGUCGUAAACCACUGUCAGUGGGAAAGAUGGGCGUCGGGGCUAAUACCUCCGGCGUCUGACGGUACCUGCAGAGGAAGCCCCGGCCAACUCUGUGCCAGCAGCCGCGGUAAGACAGAGGGGGCAAGCGUUGCUCGGAAUUACUGGGCGUAAAGGGCGCGUAGGCGGGAUGGCAAGUCGGUCGUGAAAUCCCUCGGCUCAACCGAGGAACGUCGAUCGAUACUGCUGUUCUUGAGGAUUGCAGAGGAGACUGGAAUUCCCGGUGUAGCGGUGAAAUGUGUAGAGAUCGGGAGGAACACCGGUGGCGAAGGCGGGUCUCUGGGCAAUUCCUGACGCUGAGGCGCGAAAGCGUGGGGAGCAAACGGGAUUAGAUAC